UACGAAGGGUGCUAGCGUUGUUCGGAAUCACUGGGCGUAAAGCGCACGUAGGCGGAUUGUUAAGUCGGGCGUGAAAUCCUGAGGCUCAACCUCAGAACUGCCUUCGAUACUGGCAAUCUCGAGUCCGGAAGAGGUUGGUGGAACAGCUAGUGUAGAGGUGAAAUUCGUAGAUAUUAGCUAGAACACCAGUGGCGAAGGCGGCCAACUGGUCCGGUACUGACGCUGAGGUGCGAAAGCGUGGGGAGCAAACAGG
rnacentral:rRNA from 1 species